UGCACCUGCGUUCAACCCCAAAAAAAACAGAAACAAGAACAUCAGCAUUUGACUUGUGAAAUCUGAGAUCGAAAAAUUAUAGUCCUUGUGAAAUAUGCAUAGAGUUAAUCUGGGAGGAUCAAGAGUGAAAACAAGUUGCCUCGGUGUAGGGGACGACAUGCUUUAUCAAAUUGCCGAGUUCUCUGUGAACUAGAGCAAGUUCUGGCAUAAGCAAUGGGAAUGUGGUAAGCUACACGCUCUGGACUGUGACAUGACAAAAGUAGGAGCCUACCUACAUAGCUCAAAGAACUUCCAACUGAAUGCUUAAGCCCAACAACUUAUUGAAGCCUACCCACGUAGCUCAAAAUGCUUAAAUCUAGGUCACUAGUAGUAAUUUACAUGGUUCCUUAUAUACUCAAGGAUCACCUAUGUAGACUUCCGGUGUGAGACUGCGUAUCACAAGUUCUUUUCAGAUGCCUAAUCUAUCGUUCCAAACAGAAGCGUAUCGUGACUAAUUAACAUGCGUUCCACAAUGUAACAAUGCUACGAUAGUACUAGCAUUUCUUAGCAACACAAGUCCAAUUUGGGGGCACCGUUCUCCGAUCACACUUUUACGUGAAACCUACACACUUUUAUUAGUGAUUGUGACAAAGGUAUAGGACACCAUAUGAUGUACCCAUGGAGGGAUCCAGUAAACUUUUUCCAACCCCCUCCUCAACUACCCAAAACCAUAUGAUGUCAUAAAUGAUGCACACUUGACAAGGACUUGCACUUCCCCUCACGAAAGCCGAAAGGGAAAGCAUGGACACCCACAACUUUCACAUAAAGUCUCUGGCACUAAGUAGUAGUGUCACGAAUCGCCCAUCACAAUGGGACCAAUCUUUCAAUACAACCAAUGCACUUUUGAGUAACAUGACAAAAAGACUGAAAGUAUACAUGUGUCCUUCAAUUAUUUAGGCCCCAGUCCUGUAAUGGAAACAGGCUGUUUUUAGUAUUUGGAUGAGGAGUAUGUAGAGAGAUUUUACCGGCAGAAAGAAAAUUGGAUAGGAAAAACAGAUGUAGAGAGUUUUUAUUGUUCCUCCUCUUAUGUGAAAGUUUUUGGCAAUUAAUUCGUGGUUCACUUUUUCAUAUUUGCAAUUAUUUUUUCCGCCAUUUUCCAUAUAAAUUUACGAUGUUUAAACAGAUUUACACAUGAAAGGGCGAUAUUGUAACUUCAUCAAUGCUAGCGGGGUGCAGGGCUGGCUCUAAACCGAGACGAGCAAGGCGGCGGACUUAAACCUCCGGAUUUUGAAUCAAAAUUAGGAUCCUAGAUAGGUAUAACCAGACAUAUAAUAUAUAUUUAAUCUAGCACUUAUAUAACAAAUAAACUAGUUAGUCUAGUAGAAAAUCUUAGUUCCUCUAUCCAAGAGAAGCUAGCUAGCCCAGUGGAAAAGGUUGGUUUCUCUAUCCAAUAGAUACAUGGUUCAAGCCUUAGGAGCCUCUUUUUUUCUUCUCCAUAUGAAUAUUUUUUUCCCCUCAUCUUAGGUCUCGAGAAUCUCAAAGAGCGCCGGCCCUGGCGGGAUGUAUCACUCAUCCCGCUAGUAAGGUAAGGAGUACAAUCUAGUAAGGCUGCUAUUUGGGCAAGCUUUUCUAUCCUGGUUUGCUCCCAAAAAGAUAGCCAUCACUUUCAUUUUUAACCCUCUAGGGAGAUUCCAUGCACAAACACUCACAAGGCAGAGGACAAAAAACCUACUGCAAUUACAAAAUAAACGAAAAAGAGUGAAAUUAGUACCCAAGUUUUUAGUACAUCGGCUGGGUUUCCCUAUUAGGCCUAAACGAACUAAACGGGCUAGUCCACAAAAACAUAGAUCUUCACAUAAACUAACUAAAAGUUCAUUUAGCAAAAAUAACUUGUCAAAAGUCCUUCGAGCUGUAGACAAACUUUUUCAAAAACCAGCCUCUCCCAAGAUUUUAGAUUGGAAUACAAUCUCAAAACCUAACUGUGACAACGACCUCGUGGUAGGUGAGAAAUCAAGAGAUCCACUAGUUUAAAGGUCUAUUAUAGCCAUAGGUGUCAAAAAAAGACGAGGUUCAAAUGUCCCUAUCAUAUAAUGAUGGAUUCAAGAUAAAUUUGGUGCACCCACUUCCCCACCACCACAAAAAAAAAUUAAAAAAUUAAAAAAUUUAAUUCAUAACCACAUAUUUUGAGAAUUCUUGCAAACUCUACUAAAUUUUGUCUUUAAUAUAUAUUUUUAGCUGAAGGCUUUAGGUGGACCACUAACUACCACUAACUGGUACUUCCCAACAGUCUCAUUGGGAGAGUUAGGCGCCUGAAAUUUUCAAAAUUAGGUUCAGACAAGUCCCAAAAGUCCAUUCCAUCAUGUAUUUAAUGGAGAAAAAGGAAAGAAAAGUUCAAAAAAGGGCCGUGCAUGAAGGUGGGAAAAUGAAAGCUGGAGGGACUUUUUAGCAAUUUAGGCAAUGCUACUUUUUAGACUGACUGCGUUCUUUUAGACUUAAUUAAAAUUUAAA